rnacentral:lncRNA from 1 species
UUCUUGACAGAUUGAUUUAUUUAUUUCAGUAACUUGGCCUUCCUGAGAAAGGGAGGCUCAGCGCCAGGGCGGGCACAGGGACAACCUGGGGGGACGAGGGAGGGGCCUCCUCCUCCGAGGACAGCGGGGACUCCAGGCUGAAGGGCAGACCCCUGGGGCCUUCUCCCUGCCCUCCCAGUAGGUCAGGGGCCCCCAGGCUCUCAAGCAGGAACAUGCAGCCCCCACAGACAGUUGUCUCCUCAUUGUCAUCCUGGCCUCUGCCCCCUACAUGGGUCUGCUGGAACCCAUCUUAUGGCUCAUCACCAACAACCCGAGGCCACAGUGAGCCAGGCAUAGUAAAGAGCUGAUUUGAACCCAGACCUCUGCCUCCCUGCACCCACUCCCAUCUACCUAAAGAAAAGACUUUGACCAUGAAUCCCGAGGGGGUAGGGGCCGAGCCUCACUAACAGCUCGCCCCAGCCCUCUCCUGGUCCUGGGGCUUCUUUCCUGCUGCGCUGGCUGGGCCCAUCUGUGCCUCCAGCCCCAAGGCUUAGGAGCCCUACUCCCCUGCCUGUGUUCCCGUCACACUGCCCACGCCCCCAGGCAGGGACUCCAGAGGCUGACGGGGAGCCCCGCAGAACCUGCAACUGAGGAAGGGCCGGGCUGGUGAGAUGCAGAGAUUCAGGGGGUUCUGUGGGCUGCAGCCGGAGCACAGAGCAGGGGCCAGGACAUGCUGGAGUCCACACUUGGUCAGAGGGCAAGAGGACCGCACAAACUGCUGGACACACAGCUGCAGGCUGUCAGCACAGGGAGAGCAACACAGCGAAGGCCUGGGCAGAUGGAAGCGGACCGCUACAGGCUCUCGUCACUGCAGUGCCCUCCAUACCUGUAGGCACCCACUGGGCAUCAACCUGUGUCAUCACGAGACACUGAGCAAGAGUCCCGGCCUGCCCCACCUUGUGGAUCUUCCUUCCAGUCCCUGGAUCAAAGAGCAGAAACCUCGAGAUGUUGGAGGGUAAGGUGCAACCAGGGGCCAGAGUGUGCAG